CGCCUUCUAAGAUUGAAGAUUCCCGGCCCCUGUUCCUCUCUCGGUCGAUGCCCUAGCUGCCGACAUCAAUCUCUCACCUCCAUCCCGAGCCUCUGUCGCCGUUGACCUCGCCGCCGUUUAAGAUCGAAGAUUCCGCUUCUCCGCUGCUGUCGAUUUCGCCAUCGUCUAAGGUAAGUCUCCUCCUCCUCUUCCUCCUCUUUGUUUUCUUCUUGUUUUUAACGCUCGCCUGGCCCCCGUUCCUCAGUCAUCCUCUCUCGGCCGAGCAACGUCCGAUGCCUCUCCUCCUCCCUCCUCUCCAGCGCCGAGCGACCGCGCAUCCGCAACCUCCU
rnacentral:lncRNA from 1 species